AACCAGACUCCUACGGGAGGCAGCAGUGGGGGAUAUUGCACAAUGGGGGGAACCCUGAUGCAGCGACGCCGCGUGGGUGAAGGAGUAUUUCGGUAUGUAAAGCCCUAUCGGCAGGGAAGAAGAAAGACGGUACCUGACUAAGGAGCCCCGGCUAACUACGUGCCAGCAGCCGCGGGAAUACGUAGGGGGCGAGCGUUAUCCGGAUUCACUGGGUGUAAAGGGAGCGUAGACGGCCAAGCAAGCCAGGGGUGAAAGCCCGGGGCCCAACCCCGGGACUGCCCUUGGAACUGCAUGGCUGGAGUGCGGGAGGGGCAGGCGGAAUUCCUGGUGUAGCGGUGAGAUGCGUAGAUAUCAGGAGGAACACCGGUGGCGAAGGCGGCCUGCUGGACUGCAACUGACGUUGAGGCCCGAAAGCGUGGGGAGCAAACAGGAUUAGAUACCCGCGUACU
rnacentral:rRNA from 1 species